rnacentral:rRNA from 1 species
AUUGAACGCUGGCGGCAUGCUCUACACAUGCAAGUCGAACGGCCGCGCGGGCUUCGUCCUCGUCGCGAGUGGCGGACGGACGAGUAAUUAACACGAAGGUGCCCAGCCGUGGGGGCUAGCACGACGACAGCCGGACUAAUACCGCAUACGAUAUGAGGGUGAACGCGGGGGACCGAUAGUCAAAGCGCUAUUUGAGCGGCCGAUGUCGGAUUAGCUAGUUGGUGUGGUAAAGGCUUACCAAGGCGACGAUCCGUAGCAGGUCUGAGAGGCCGACCAGCCACACUGGGACUGAGACACGGCCCAGACUCCUACGGGAGGCAGCAGUAGGGAAUUUUGGACAAUGGGGGCAACCCUGAUCCAGCCAUGCCGCGUGAGGGAAGAAGGCCUUCGGAUUGUAAAACGCUGUUAUUCGGGAAGAAAACAUGUGUACGAAUACCCCCGGGGGAUGACGGUACCUGAAGAGAAAGCACCGGCUAACUACGUG